CUCCGGCGCGCAGCCCGCGGCUCUGGCAUCCCCAACGCACUUUCUCUCCUCGAUUCGUUCGCUCUUCCCCCCGCCGCUCCUCCUUCUCCGGAUCACAUGAGGAGCAGGCACGGAGACCCAGGACCCCUGGAAGUCGGAGAAGGCAUCGCACGCAUAUAUCAGAGUCCAGAGAAAAGACUGUGGGGAAACUCCAGCCACAUCUGUGUUUGGUCCUGAUGCAGGGCCCAUGCCACCCACUGCACACCAGAUGAUCUCCUACCUUCCCAGAGCCUCUUCUCCUACUGAGAUGCAGGAGACUGCCCUGGAAGGCCUCCAGUUCUCCAUCAGCAGCUUUGCUCCCACAAGGUCACACCCCAUCCCUGGAAUGAGGUGAUACUCUUCUGGUAGUGCAACACUGCUAGCUCUAUAGGAACUUUACCAGAAGUGAAACAGAAUGGAAAGGUACCUGGGAUUUCUGAGCAAGGUAGUGCGACUCAUUUUAACAGAGAUUUGUAAAUAUUUUAUUAAAUCUAUGUUCUCUAUUAUGUUGUGAAUCCUGACAAGGAAGUUGCUACAGAAGUGAGUUUAUUAGGAGCAAGAGCUGUAUCCCUCUAAACUGAAGACAUAAAGAGAAAAAAAAAUAAUAAAAAAAAAUUCCACCACUCCCAUUUCUGAAUUUCAAAGAAAUACAAAGAGGUUUCUCUUUCAUUUGGAUUUCUCUGUAUUUGGUGUGGUUUUGAUUCCCACUGAUCAGAUUUGGGACUGACUUUCCUGGCAUCGUUUUCUAUGCAGAUUUUACUUAACUCUGACAGACUAUAUCAGACUAGGGAACAGAAAUUUUAGAGGGUGCCAGCCUAGGAGAUGGCAGAAGCAGAAGAGCUCUUGUGUACUAAACUGCCUAAAUCUGAGGAAGAGACUUGUGAGAUUUGCACCAAAGCAUUUUUUGGGAAAGUCUCUAGAUGCCUGGAGGAUUUAUCUUAGCUAACUUCACACAUUAAAGAAAAAAUAUGGAUUUUAGUUUCUUGAUAUCCCAUUAAAGUGGAGAUGAGUUCUCCCUAAGAGUCACUCAGGUUGCUGAAGAUCUGAAUUACCUUUUAGAAGUGACUUACUACUGCUGUUUGUUCACAGAGCUCGCCUAGGGUGGCUAGGCUCCUGCUUAAGCUCUUGAGGUUGCAGAGGGAUGAAUUUUGGUUUACUGUGUGCUACCACUUUGUAAAUUAAGAAUGCAGUAAUCUUGUUAGAGGUGGAACUCAGGCACCCUGUCAUUGUGCUAAGGCAGUCUCAGAGAGCAAGUCUCUGGCCUAUCCUUAUGCAGGCACUACCUAGCAGGUUUGGCUGGUUUUGACACAUACAUAUUACACAUAGCACAGCACCUAGAUCCUGGCUGUGAAUCCAGAGGUGCUUAAUUUUGGUGCUUCCUUCCAAAGCAAGGAAGAAAGCCAGAUUUCAAGUAGUCUCUUGUCCUCAGCCCUUCUUCACUGUUUUCUACCCUGCUAAGUAAGGUAGUUAUUGUUAAUUUCACUUUAAUGCUCAAAAAUACCGUCUUUAUUUAGGUAAAUGCAUAAACAUGUGAUCUUCUGUUUGUAGACACCUAAGCAAGAUCUGUGAAUUUGAACAGUUUGGGAGCUGAAAGCUAUUAAUAUCCAUAUUAAACUCUUCCUCGAUCUGGAAUGAAGUCACAUUGCAACAGCAGAGGAGGGUUGUAAAGGACUGUUUCUCUGAACCAUUGUGUCUUUUACAUACCCAUGAGGUCAUAUUUCCUCUCCUGUUCCACAACAGAUUUUUAGCAAUGAAUGUGUGGCUUGGGGGCAUCUGGGCUGCACUUUUUGCUUAGACAGAGGAGAUGGAAGUAGCUGCUACAGUUGUCCCUAAAGUUUAUUUCUGAUGGCAUCUUGAAGAACUGUUUUCUUAGCAAAUCUGUAUGAAUGUCCAUGGUAACAACGACAACAACAAUAACAAUAAAACAAACCCAAACCACAAAUCUAGAAAAAUGGUUCUGAAAAUUGUCUUUGGUUUAGGGCAAGUAGUACCUCCUUUUCUAAAGACAAGGCCUUAUCUUUUUUUGCUAUUCACUCACACAGUUUAUUAAGCUUAUUUAAGUAGGAAGAAAUUAUUAGAAAGAAAACAGAGAAUUCAUUCAGUUCAGGCUUAUUCAUGCCUCACUGAACUAUGAACUUACUGAGGUAUACUAAAACAUACAGUACUAUAAAUGCCCUCAUUGUAAGUUGGACAUAAAUAUUGUCUAUAAAUACUGGCUCCUGAAUAAUAUACUUUCUUAAAAAGGUUCAAAGAUGUACUGUAUUUUAAACCUUAGUAAUACCAAUAUCAAUUGAGUUACAAACAUCUGUUCAGAACAUUUCUUUAGUCAGCCCUGCUUCUUUUACAAGCAAGAAUCUGAAGAAAACAUCAAGCUACAGCCAUUACAUCAGUUAAAGACUUUUCACACCUCUGUAAGGUACAAGUUUAUACAAGCUUUCAAAAAUCAAUAAACUUUAAAUGAAAGCCUGCCACCAUUUUGUGCACAGAAGCAUUUCCAAAAUUCACUCACUGACAGUUAAAAAGAAAAUGUCUGUGGCUAAGAUUGUUUUUUUUUUAAUUGUGUGUGUAAAUGAAGUAUUUUUUCAAUCUAUUCUUGAUAGAUUCCAUCUGACUAAGAAUGUAAUAUCAUGGGUAAUGCUAUCACAAAACUAGUGACGGAAGACAACAAAAGUUUUGGUAUCAGCAGAGAAAAGUUAUUUUCAAAACAUUCCUGGAGAAGUCUUAUGAAACCUAUGGAAUUUAAACCUUUACAGUGAACGCUUAAGGUUAGUCACCAUCUUACUUCAAUUUCUCUGGCAAACUAUGGGAUAAUUUUGGAUAACCCUGCAACGGCACUUCUUUAAGUUUAGACAUAUGUAUGAGUUAUGGCAUCACUUCAUUUACAAUAGGAAUCAAGAAAUAAAAGGGAUCUUAUUCAUGUUAAGUAACAUUCACAUUCCUGGUAUAGUAGUGUGCCUUUCUCAGAAAUGACAGAUGGAUUGAGAGGACUGAUGAUGUAUAUUAGGUAGCGUUAAAAGGGACUCAUGUAUUAUAAUUACAUUGUAAUCCCUUAUUUGUUGCAGUUCUCAGGAACUAACAAAUUAAUAUGUUUUUCCACAUUAUGGAUGCUUUUUGCUUCUUCAUAGGACUUGAACAUGUUUCCUAUAUAUAUAUCUUGCUUUCUUUGGGUAAUAGAAUUCUAUAAUUUUUUUUACU